AUUGAACGCUGGCGGCAUGCUUUACACAUGCAAGUCGAACGGCAGCGCGGGCUUCGGCCUGGCGGCGAGUGGCGAACGGGUGAGUAAUGCAUCGGAACGUGCCCAGUAGUGGGGGAUAGCCCGGCGAAAGCCGGAUUAAUACCGCAUACGACCUGAGGGUGAAAGCGGGGGACCGAAAGGCCUCGCGCUAUUGGAGCGGCCGAUGUCGGAUUAGCUAGUUGGUGGGGUAAAGGCUUACCAAGGCGACGAUCCGUAGCUGGUCUGAGAGGACGACCAGCCACACUGGGACUGAGACACGGCCCAGACUCCUAUGGGAGGCAGCAGUGGGGAAUUUUGGACAAUGGGGGCAACCCUGAUCCAACCAUGCCGCGUGCGGGAAGAAGGCCUUCGGGUUGUAAACCGCUUUUGUUCGGGAAGAAAUCCUCUGGGCUAAUACCCCGGGGGGAUGACGGUACCGGAAGAAUAAGCACCGGCUAACUACGUG
rnacentral:rRNA from 1 species